CCUGAUUAAGUUAUACCAGUCCCCGUGCUAGUUAUCACAGUUGUGCUUUGCUAUUGUAUUACAGCACUGUGAUGUACCUGAAGGAGUGAUAAGAGUUUACGCUCCAUUGCACUCAAAGGUUUCCAUGGCGAUCCAGCUGAACAGUCGGACGAAAGCCAAAGACAUCUUGGCAAGGUUUCAGUGCGAAAACAGUAACGGAACACCAGACAGUGACAGAAUAAACAACCAAAGUUUAUAUGAAA